GCAGAUGACUCAGUGUUUCAAAGCGUAUUGAAAGCGACGACCCGUAAAAUUAUGCUGGCUUUCUGUUUAGUGUGGCUUUGUGAGUGCGUGGGAGAGGAUUAUAUACUGCACAUCUGCAUGGCGGCUGUACGAGAUAUUGCUGAGAGACAGCCUCCAAUUCGAGACGUCAUAAGAAACGGAAUUCAAUAGAAAUAUUCGCUUCUUUCAACACAUAGAUUGCUGGAACGAUACAUAAGGAUGUGAAGUAUGGUUUCGUUGGAUUUCCGCGCGUGAAGACUGAAUCGGAUUGAGACAGCCGUUGACACUCGCAGCUACAAAUGGACGCUCCGUACGGUUCCGCGCACAAGACAUUACACACGACUAGGUGUCCUCCCCAAGACAUCACUCCUAUGUCUUUCCAGGACGUCCAUCAAGAGGGAGAGACCGAUACAAGUCUUCGGCUUCAGGUGCCGCUGUGGGGCGCGUCGCAGUGGCAAGGGCAACCAAGCGGCCGUAAUUGCCAUUUAUUUGCGUGCCUGAGUACUGGCUACACCACGUGAACACACCCUUCUUCCUUGUGACGUCGUCGGAGAAAUUUGUGCCGUGCAUCUUCCCACAGCGCUCGUGGUGGGAGUGUGCUACCUUCUCGCCUCGCGCGGCGCAGGAACGCGUCCGCGACUUUAUCGUGUGCGUACUCGCGCCUUACCACACGCACCAGCUUCUCGUAGUCGGAGACUUCAACGUGCACGUUUCACUGGCCAAGAACACCACCUUCCCAAGUUCGUAUGUCCAAACAGCUGGACCUUCCGUUGUGCACCGACACUAGACGUGGCUGAUGGAUAGACUUGGUGUUCCAGAACAGCCCCCUCGUUCAGGACACCAUUCACCUCGCUCCCCAUUUCGACGACCCCGCAAAUCAAUAUUGUCUACAAGCUUCCAUCCGACCUAAUUUCACCACACGUGCAGCUGAAGCUUGAAUUUCGCGCUACGCGAGCCAUAACCAUCCUGUCAUUUUAUUUUAUUUUAGUUUUUUAUUCUGUGAAUGAAUGACGCUACGGAUAUUCGUGAUACAGGUGUUCGAAUGUUCCAGACAGAUACUCUUUCCUGGGCUGCCUGGGAGCCGGGUUUCUUUUUCUUUUUUGUGUCUUUUUCAUUUAUUUAUUUAUUUAUUUCUCUUUUUGUUUUAUUUCCUUUUCUUUGAAAAGAGUAAGAUAUGCACUCAUUUUGGAAGAGUAGUAUUUAUUGAUAUUGCGCAAAAUCUAUGGAAUCAGACCGCGGUCCCGCUGACAUCGCUCCAUUAUAUAUUUCGAGAAAAUUUUGACUUUAUUUCUCUCAGAAAAUAUGUUGUGCCGAAACAGGUACGACACCAUCUUGAAGUGACGUGGUCGGUGACCCGUAACUGCUCAUCUACGAGGAACACUGCAGGCGUUUUGAAAGCUGCAAAAUAUGGACCGCACCCAAGUGCUGCGGUGUACCAGGACCGAUUGCGUUGGCGCACCGCUGCCUCCACCCUCAUUUAUAGUCACCUUAGUUUAGAGCUGCUGGCUGUAGAGUGUACCCCUCCUUGUACCCAUCCCUUUGUUUUUGAUUUCUGCCAAAUCCAUGGAUGGCCUGAAAAGCCAUCUUAGAAUGAAUAUAUAUAAGAUCACA